GACGAACGCUGGCGGCGUGCCUAAUACAUGCAAGUAGAACGCACAGUUUAUACCGUAGCUUGCUACACCAUAGACUGUGAGUUGCGAACGGGUGAGUAACGCGUAGGUAACCUGCCUGGUAGCGGGGGAUAACUAUUGGAAACGAUAGCUAAUACCGCAUAAUAUUAAUUAUUGCAUGAUAAUUAAUUGAAAGGUGCAAUUGCACCACUACCAGAUGGACCUGCGUUGUAUUAGCUAGUAGGUGAGGUAACGGCUCACCUAGGCGACGAUACAUAGCCGACCUGAGAGGGUGAUCGGCCACACUGGGACUGAGACACGGCCCAGACUCCUACGGGAGGCAGCAGUAGGGAAUCUUCGGCAAUGGACGAAAGUCUGACCGAGCAACGCCGCGUGAGUGAAGAAGGUUUUCGGAUCGUAAAGCUCUGUUGUAAGAGAAGAACGGGUGUGAGAGUGGAAAGUUCACACUGUGACGGUAGCUUACCAGAAAGAGACGGCUAACUACGUG
rnacentral:rRNA from 1 species